rnacentral:rRNA from 1 species
GAUGAACGCUGGCGGCGUGCCUAAUACAUGCAAGUCGAGCGAACAGACGAGGAGCUUGCUCCUCUGACGUUAGCGGCGGACGGGUGAGUAACACGUGGAUAACCUACCUAUAAGACUGGGAUAACUUCGGGAAACCGGAGCUAAUACCGGAUAAUAUAUUGAACCGCAUGGUUCAAUAGUGAAAGACGGUUUUGCUGUCACUUAUAGAUGGAUCCGCGCCGCAUUAGCUAGUUGGUAAGGUAACGGCUUACCAAGGCGACGAUGCGUAGCCGACCUGAGAGGGUGAUCGGCCACACUGGAACUGAGACACGGUCCAGACUCCUACGGGAGGCAGCAGUAGGGAAUCUUCCGCAAUGGGCGAAAGCCUGCCGGAGCACCGCCGCGUGAGUGAUGAAGGUCUUCGGAUCGUAAAACUCUGUUAUUAGGGAAGAACAAAUGUGUAAGUAACUAUGCACGUCUUGACGGUACCUAAUCAGAAAGCCACGGCUAACUACGUG